CACUGGGUAACCUGCCCAAGAGAUCGGGAUAACACCUGGAAACAGAUGCUAAUACCGGAUAACAACAGAUGAUGCCUAUCAACUGUUUAAAAGAUGGUUCUGCUAUCACUCUUGGAUGGACCUGCGGUGCAUUAGCUAGUUGGUAGGGUAACGGCCUACCAAGGCGAUGAUGCAUAGCCGAGUUUAGAGACUGAUCGGCCACAUUGGGACUGAGACACGGCCCAAACUCCUACGGGAGGCAGCAGGG
rnacentral:rRNA from 1 species